rnacentral:rRNA from 1 species
AGUGAACGCUGGCGGUAGGCCUAACACAUGCAAGUCGAACGGCAGCACAGUAAGAGCUUGCUCUUACGGGUGGCGAGUGGCGGACGGGUGAGGAAUACAUCGGAAUCUACUUUUUCGUGGGGGAUAACGUAGGGAAACUUACGCUAAUACCGCAUACGACCUACGGGUGAAAGCAGGGGAUCUUCGGACCUUGCGCGAUUCAAUGAGCCGAUGUCGGAUUAGCUAGUUGGCGGGGUAAAGGCCCACCAAGGCAACGAUCCGUAGCUGAGCUGAGAGGAUGAUCGGCCACACUGGAACUGAGACACGGUCCAGACUCCUACGGGAGGCAGCAGUGGGGAAUAUUGGACAAUGGGCGCAAGCCUGAUCCAGCCAUACCGCGUGGGUGAAGAAGGCCUUCGGGUUGUAAAGCCCUUUUGUUGGGAAAGAAAAGCAGCAGGUUAAUACCCCGCUGUUCUGACGGUACCCAAAGAAUAAGCACCGGCUAACUUCGUG